CUUGGAGAAACGCUUCGCCGCCAUCGCUCCAGGUCGUGGGUUGUGGAGUCCAGAUGAAGAGUCCAGGUUGAAACGAGCUCUGAAGGCUCACCUGGAGGUGUUGGCCCAGCAGAAUCCUGCAGGUCCAGUUCUGACCAGAGACCACCUGUGGAACAACUUGCCCUGGAAGGAGAUCAGUCAGCAGGUCGGAACCAGAUCCUGGAUCCAGUGUCGCCUCAAGUGGUUCACCUUCCUGAAGUUGAAGCUGUUCUCAGGUGGCAGCACCAACAACCGAGGAGCUGAAGGACUUCAGGCAAAAAUCCACCUCAU